GCGCCCUGCCUUUCAGGCAUCCUCUCCUAAAACUCAGAAGGCCGGUCGCAAGAUCGGCCAUUUUUUUUGGGAAGC
rnacentral:sRNA from 1 species